AUUGAUUUUUUUUUUUUUUUUAUGGGAAACGUUAUUCUGCUAUCCUGCUUGUUGGAGCCUGAUGGAACCAACUUAUAGCAUGAUUGCCAUUUAUCACGUUACUUUGAUAAACACGCCUUUGUUAGACAUUGGAACUCAAUAAUUAUAUGCCAAGAACUAUUUUUAUGAAUAUGUUGUAUAAAAGAUGGGAAUAUAAUUAGUUUUCCUUCUAUAACAGGUACUCGGAACAGAUGAAUUA
rnacentral:misc_RNA from 1 species